CACCUCCACCUGUGAGCCGAGUCUCUGCACGAGUUCACGGCUCGACCCGACGACCAGCGUCUCAUCCCGGCGGCGUAACAGGCCGCUGCCGCCGGAGCUCACACAACGUCGGCGACUGGUGCAAACAGCCGGUGUGUAGAAGUCAUGCGGAUAUAUGGGGCGCCAUGUUAGAAACACAAUGCAUUAUGGGGGGUGUAGUCUUCUAGCGGUAAACAUGUCACCGAAGCUGUGUCUGAAGGAAAGAAACCAUUAAAACUUUGUCUUUGGGAUAUACACACACACAACACA